UACGGAGGGGGGCUAGCGUUGUUCGGAAUUACUGGGCGUAAAGCGCACGUAGGCGGCUUUGUAAGUUAGAGGUGAAAGCCCGGGGCUCAACUCCGGAAUUGCCUUUUAAGACUGCAUCGCUAGAAUUGUGGAGAGGUAAGUGGAAUUCCGAGUGUAGAGGUGAAAUUCGUAGAUAUUCGGAAGAACACCAGUGGCGAAGGCGACUUACUGGACACAUAUUGACGCUGAGGUGCGAAAAGCGUGGGGGAGCAAACAGG
rnacentral:rRNA from 1 species